UCCCUGGUGGCUCAGCAGUAAAGAAUCUGCCUGCAAUGCAGGAGAUCCAGGUUCAGUCCCUGGGUGGGGAA
rnacentral:tRNA from 1 species